rnacentral:rRNA from 1 species
UGGGGAAUCUUGCGCAAUGGCCGAAAGGCUGACGCAGCGACGCCGCGUGGGGGAGGAAGGGCUUCGGCUCGUAAACCCCUGUUGCCCGGGGCGAACAGCAGGUUUCGACCUGCCUGACGGUACCGGGUGAGGAAGCACCGGCUAACUCCGUGCCAGCAGCCGCGGUAAUACGGAGGGUGCGAGCGUUGUCCGGAAUCACUGGGCGUAAAGGGCGCGUAGGUGGCCGAGCAAGGUCGCGGUGAAAGCUUGGGGCUCAACCCCAAGUCGGCCGUGGCAACUACUGGGCUGGAGCACUGUAGGGGCAGAUGGAAUUCCGGGUGUAGCGGUGGAAUGCGUAGAGAUCCGGAAGAACACCGGUGGCGAAGGCGGUCUGCUGGGCAGUUGCUGACACUGAGGCGCGACAGCGUGGGGAGCAAAC